GGGCGGAUGGUGGAACUGGUAGACACGCAAGCUUGAGGGGCUUGUGAUCGCAAGGUCGUGGAGGUUCAAGUCCUCUUUCGCCCACCA
rnacentral:tRNA from 1 species